UCCGGUAACCAUAGCGGAGAGGAUACACCCGUUCCCAUCCCGAACACGGCAGUUAAGCUCUCCAGCGCCGAUGGUACUGGGGUUCGCCCCCGGGAGAGUAGGUCGUUGCCGGAA
rnacentral:rRNA from 1 species